rnacentral:rRNA from 1 species
UACGGGGGGGGCAAGCGUUGUUCGGAAUUACUGGGCGUAAAGGGCUUGUAGGUGGCCAACUAAGUCAGACGUGAAAUCCCACGGCUUAACCGGGGAACUGCGUCUGAUACUGGAUGGCUUGAGUGUGGGAGAGGGAUGCGGAAUUCCAGGUGUAGCGGUGAAAUGCGUAGAUAUCGUAAGGAAGACCAGUGGCGAAGGCGGGUCUCUGGACAGUUCCUGACGCUGAGGCACGAAGGUCAGGGGAGCAAACGGG